rnacentral:rRNA from 1 species
GAUGAACGCUGGCGGCGUGCCUAAUACAUGCAAGUCGAGCGAACAGACGAGGAGCUUGCUCCUCUGACGUUAGCGGCGGACGGGUGAGUAACACGUGGAUAACCUACCUAUAAGACUGGGAUAACUUCGGGAAACCGGAGCUAAUACCGGAUAAUAUAUUGAACCGCAUGGUUCAAUAGUGAAAGACGGUUUUGCUGUCACUUAUAGAUGGAUCCGCGCCGCAUUAGCUAGUUGGUAAGGUAACGGCUUACCAAGGCGACGAUGCGUAGCCGACCUGAGAGGGGGGUAGGCCACACUGGAACUGGGACACGGUCCAUGCUCCUAAGGGAGGCAGCAGUAGGGAAUCUUACGCAAUGGGCGAGAGUAUGACGGAGCAACGGCGCGUGAGUGAUGAAGGUCUUGGGAUCGUAAAAAUCUGUUAUUAGGGAAGAACAAAUGUGUAAGUAACUAUGCACUGCUUGACGGUAACUAAUCAGAAAGCAACGGCUAACUACGUG